UGCGACCCCAGGUCAGGCGGGGUUACCCGC
rnacentral:rRNA from 1 species